AAUACAUUUGCGAUUUGUAUUCUAAACAAGCUUGCGUGGACUAAAUAUGCUGGCUGUAUUGUUUUCUUGGCUCUUAUUCACUUGUUAAUAAUGUGUUGUUUUUUUGGGAAAUAGCCCUCACUCUGUUGGCUCGGAAGAGGAAUCCAAGGGAAAUGUCAUGCUGAAUCCUGUGCUAGAAUUCAAAGCAACACGUGUGCAGGAGUUAUCUGGUCAAACAAGGAUAUGGUUUCCUAAAUGGGUGGAUCCAGACAGAAGGUGGACCAUGGAUGCCACAGCUGCUCAAUUAUGUUCUGAGUUGUUUCCUGAUGGGCAGUGGGGACAAGUUGAGAACAGCUGCAGCCGGAAGAGGAGAGGAAGAGGAGGAGGAGGAAGAGGAGAAAGAGGAGAAGGAGGAGGAGGAGAAGGAAGCCUGUGUCCUCCUGCAUUUGUGGCCUUGCCCAUCAUGGAGCUAAACUUGCAGAGCUUGGAAGGAGGGCCAAGGUGUUCUGACAGGUUUAUGCAGACCAAGAAGAACAAGCAGCAGAUGGGAAAGAAGUCUGUCUCCUCAGCAGGACCAGCCUCUGCACAGUCCUGCAAAACAGCUUCAAAAACCAAAACUCCAUCGCACCAGACUUCCUCUUCAAGACUGCUAAGCUAAUGCAUGAUGAAGCCGGGAGCCAGCACCAGGUUUGCAAAGCCCCGUUCUUCAUGUGAUGUGAAGGGUGUGUCACGGGAGACUGGGCAUGAGAGGAAGGCUGGCUUUCUGUUCAUCUUCCCCUCAGAAGGCCCCUUACUUUGAUGAGAGUCAAUAGUGAAACCAUUGCCCAGCUCUGGUUUUCCCUGGCCUGCGAGGAGGCCGUGGGGAUACGCCUUCUUGACCAUCUCCCAUCUGCCUCUAUUCCAAAGCAGACAAAGGCUCUGCACACACCAGGAAUGAAGAAACCAGCUUCCAUCCAGUUAACGGGCAACAGGAGUAUUGAGACAACUCCAAGAGUCCGGACUCACAGACAAUUUCUCUCUGUGCCUUUUGGUUUGUGUUUGGAGUUUACAGAUGUGAAGCCACAGCUGGAUUCCCCGUUUUUCUGAGGGGCCCUGAGAGCCA
rnacentral:lncRNA from 1 species